rnacentral:lncRNA from 1 species
ACACCUUUUGCUCUUGCUUUUUGGUUUUAUUUUGUUUUGCAAAACAGGGGAGUAGUGACUUCCGGACUAGGCUUUCUGCCUUGUGCCAGAGAGCCACAGUACACUGUUUUUAUUUUUAUUUUUUGGUAAGACUUGCAAUGAGAGGAACUUAGAAUAUAAAAUAUUCAUUUCUUUUAAACAAAACCAUUUCUUUUUCUUUUAAAUAGAUAUGUGAUCAUUUAGCACACGGGUGUUAAGUUCAUUCUUGCUGCAAAAGAAGGCCAUUGUAUCUCCUGACCCUGAAAGCAAGGAAGUAUUUGAAGCCCAGGGGAUUGUGGUGAAAAAGACAAACACUGCCCCAUCUGUCCUGAAACAGACAUUUCAGAGGAGGGAAAUGGAUGAUAAACAGGGACACUGGAUUUUGUGGAUGCUCCUUGGACACACUGGAAUGCACCUUGGGUAGCCUAUGGAUCAUUUUUCCCAGUGUGAAGAAUGGUAGGAGCUGGAAAAUGAGCUCAUGAGCUGGUUGAGCCAGCACAACAAGCUGGAGCCAGGUAUGGUGACCUGUGCCUGUGGUCUCAGCUACUCUGGAGGCUGAGGCAGGAAGACUGCAUGAGCCCAGAAAUUCGAGGUUACAGUGAACUAUGAUCACACCACUUGUCUCCAGCCUAGGUGACACAGUGAGACUCUCUCAAACAAACUACAACAACAACAACAAAUGAAUAUAUUUCCCAAUUGUGAGUAGAGUCUUGAAAAUGUUUAUUUUCUGAUUUUUCUGUGUACUUAGAGUGAACAGAAAUUAGGUGGUGUAGCUCAGUGUGUAAUGAGUUGCAAUUGCCACAUGUUCAGUUCCAUCUCUGCCAUUUACUAGCUGUAUAAACUUGGGCAAGUUGCUUAAAUCCCUCUGAAUCUGUUUUCUCAUCUGCAAAAUGGGCUUAAGAUAAUUCUCGUGGAUCAACUGUCAAGCAUUUGUUUUCAUGUAAUCUUAAGUGAUAAUUCUGUUACUUUUUACUUUGGGAUUUUAAGGUAUAAUCUAGAGAGUCAUCUCCAAUCCAGGUUAUAGAUUAAUUCAUCCAGGGUUUUUUCGCUCUAAAAUUUUAGAUGUUUUAUCUUUUACACACAAAUUUCUCAUCCACUUAGAAGUUGUCCUGUAUAUAGUCCAAGGAGUAGCUUCAAUUUUAUCUCUUUGCUUAUAGCUGUCCAGCUACCCUAACAUAACUUAUUAAAAGUUCCAU